AUGUCGAUACUGCGGUAAAGUAUUCCUGGCACUAUGUGCGCUGCGACAACACUCGUGAUUCUCUUUCCCGUGGACAACGAUGCUCUUCCGUCUUUUAUGUUCGUCAUUUCAGUGUUUAUUAUAUUUUCGAUCUUAUGAUGGUGACUUCUCUGUUGUCAUUCUACUAAGGACCCUUUCCUCGUUAUUUCUGUAAUUAUAUGAGGUGUAGCACAUAGCUCCAGUGGAAAUGGAUUGACUGUACGGUAGUAUGUUUUGCAGUUUUGGAAAGAGACUGUACCAGCUCUAAUUAAAUGAGACCAUGAGAUGUGAAGAAACCUUGUAAAAUUGUAAAUAACUGGAUUUGAGUAGCAUGAAUAAGUAAUUACUUGAAUAAACUUAACAAGUUGUUUGGGUUAAGGAAGGCUUGGUUAGAAUGCAGUAAGAGUGUUCCACAAGUUAAUGCCCUCCACCCAACUUCCCUGCUGGUGUUAAGCAGUGAUUGCUGUCCAGCAAGUGGCAGCUGUCCCAGACACCAACAGAGACCAUGCUAUCAACCCCAGUAAUUAGUAUGAUGGUAGGCUGAUAAAAUAAUGUCUGUAGCCGCCAAUGCCAGCCACCUACACCAGCUGAGUGUCACAGGCAAGUAGUGGUCUUGAUAUUUCGUAGUAUUAUAUUGUAAAUGACUGGGUUUUUGUGGUCUGCAAUUAUAUGAUAUACAAAUUUAGUGUCACUGUUAUGAAGUGGGAAGGAUAUUUUGAAAAAGGAUAUGCUUAAAUUAUUUCCAAUGUAUGUAUUUAUUUGAACAUAGGUGUAGAUUUCACCUUUUAUGAAUACUUUUUUUUUAAAGUACUGUACAGGUCCUCCAUCACAAAUCUGGCAUCAUUGGGACCUGUAGUGUGCCGGAUUACUGAGUUUGCCGAAUUACAGAGUGGUUAAGUUAGAAUACACUUAAUAAAAUUAACCAACUUGACUUACACAGUUCAUUGAACAUCGGAAAGAAUCGAACAUUUCUGCUACUUUGAGCUCAAUUUCAAGGUACUUUUCGUCAUGAAAGCAAUCAAAAUCAUGUCUAUUUCUGUAAUAUAUCUUCCAUUAUAUCAAAUGAGUCCAAAAAAUGAGAAUACAACCAUAAAAACCAUACGAAAAUAUACUGUAAAGAGGCGGCUAAUGGCUGAGAAGUGAACUCCCUUAUUUAUCGUCCGUCAUUUUUAUUUUUGUUGUACAUUAAGAAGCAUCUUUCCAUCAUACAUUGCCCAAGUUUCAAUGAGAUAGCCCAACAAACAACCGAGAAAAAAAAAUAUUUA